AAUACUGCAGAAAGAGACCUUUAAAAAAGAAACCAUGAAAUAUCUGGCACCUUCUGAAAUUUAGUGACAAACAUAUUCCCACUAUCUUGAAUUACAUCUGUACACACACACACACACACACACACACACACACACACACACACACACGGUGGGCUGGGGAGGAGGGACAGUCAAAAUUUUCAGACAGGUUUGGAAAACACAACUCUUUUCCAGAAUAAAUCUGCUUUGAUUCUAUGCAUCAUAAACAAAGUUGCCAUUACCAAAAAAUUCUAUCCAAAAUAUUCUAUUACUUAAAUAAUCAGUGGGCCCUUUUAUUGAUGGUGGGCAGGUGUAAAAAAAAUGAGGUUUUGCCUCUUUAAAUAAAACACUCUCGGAUGUAUUAGGAGAAACCUAGUGGAUCUAUUUUCUGAACAGUGAAGCAAGAAGGUCUUUGGUAACAGCCCCGUUAAAUAAGAUUUAAAAUUUCAAUGUCUUCUUUAGUUUGAGGUUGAGCACUAAGUUGGCAUUGGUUUUAAAAAUUGUUUGGCUGAAAUAAAACCCUUUUCCCUCUAGAAAUGUAGCAUUAGUCUAAUUCCCAGCAAAAAGAAUACAUAAAUAAGUAAAUAAAUAAAGACAAAAAUCUUGGCAAUGUGUUUUUGCCGUUAAUAAACUUCCCUUUAUUCUUCCUAAACCUCACAAAAUAUCCCCAAACUAAAGUCUCAUUCAACCUAAAGCUUGAUAUAUAGGCUUUCAGAUUAAGCCAUCUACAUUUAUUGGCUUAGAAUGGGAAAUCCUCUGCUCUAUUUCAUCUAGAUGAUUGGCUGUAUAAUGUUGGCAUAGAAUAUUUUUUGUUGUGAAUAACAUGAAAUUUUGAAGACUGGAUUUAAAAACCUGUCUAUCUUUUGUUCAGUAUGUGUGUGUGUGUGUGUGUGUGUGUGUGUGUGUGUGUCUGUCUCCCUCUGUCUCUCUGUCUGUCUCUGUCUCUCUGUGUGUGUGUGUGUGUGUGUGUGUCUGUCUCGCUCUGUCUCUCUGUCUGUCUAUGUCUCUGUGUGUGUGUGUGUGUGAGUGUGUGUGUGUGUGUGUGUGUGUGUGUGUGAGUGUGUGUGUGUGUGAGUGUGAGUGUGUGUGAGUGUGUGUAAGCAUGACCAGCACAUGAAGCUAACAGGAUGACCUGAGGAAUUGGCAUUCAUCUUCCACCUUGUUUUCGAUAGUGCCUCUUUGCUGUCAGCUGCUGUGUGCCAGGGUCUAGCUGGCCCAGGAUCUUCUGAAGAAUCUCCUGUUUAGACCUCUUAUCUCACAGCAGAAACCCUGGGGGUAGUGGCCUGUGUUACUUCUGUCUGUUUUCAUGUGACUCUGGGCAUUCAAACUCAGGCCCCCAAUCUUGUGUGGCAAGCCCUUUACCCACUGAGCCAUCUCCCCAGCAUCCUUUUGCUUGUUUGAGAAAAACAGUCUGAGUUUCAUUGGCUUGUCUUAAACUCACAAUGUGCUUAAGGACGAUCACAAACUUCUGAGCCUCCUGUUUCACCUCCUGGGAGCUGGGACCACAGGAAGAUGCUCCAUGCUGGCCUAUAAUACUUUUUCUUUUUUUGGUUGUCUCAAGGUUCUGCAGGUGUUUUUCUCUGCAGAAGGCUACACCCUGUUUCAUUUUCUGUUGUUUUUAUUUCUGCCACGUUACAAAGUGAUACACUCAGAUUGUUUCUCCAGAGGUAACAAAAAGAAUCACCAUCCCCUCACCAUGCUGCUACCCCUGGGCCUAGCAUCUUUAAAAUGAGGCAGGCUAGAAUAACAGUCUUCUGUAUGAAGUGGAGACUGUAUGUUGACCAGCCAUAUUAAUACAACUGUCUGGCUGCUCUUGAGAGCCAGACCUGGUGACCUGGCUUAUAUUCUCAACUAGAAGAUGAGCUGUUUAUUCUAAUGGGGUUUACCAAGUGCCAUGACAGCCCUGUGC
rnacentral:lncRNA from 1 species